UUACCAGGUCUUGACAUCCUCUGACAACCCUAGAGAUAGGGCUUUCCCUUCGGGGACAGAGUGACAGGUGGUGCAUGGUUGUCGUCAGCUCGUGUCGUGAGAUGUUGGGUUAAGUCCCGCAACGAGCGCAACCCUUGAUCUUAGUUGCCAGCAUUCAGUUGGGCACUCUAAGGUGACUGCCGGUGACAAACCGGAGGAAGGUGGGGAUGACGUCAAAUCAUCAUGCCCCUUAUGACCUGGGCUACACACGUGCUACAAUGGACAGAACAAAGGGCUGCGAGACCGCAAGGUUUAGCCAAUCCCACAAAUCUGUUCUCAGUUCGGAUCGCAGUCUGCAACUCGACUGCGUGAAGCUGGAAUCGCUAGUAAUCGCGGAUCAGCAUGCCGCGGUGAAUACGUUCCCGGGCCUUGUACACACCGCCCGUCACACCACGAGAGUUUGCAACACCCGAAGUCGGUGAGGUAACCUUUAUGGAGCCAGCCGCCGAAGGUGGGGCAGAUGAUUGGGGUGAAGUCGUAACAAGGUAGCCGUAUCGGAAGGUGCGGCUGGAUCACCUCCUUAAGGGCGAAUUCCACAUUGGGC
rnacentral:rRNA from 1 species